rnacentral:lncRNA from 1 species
CCACUGUAAUAGGCAGAUACUGAUGAAGUCCUGCAAAAGAAAGUGACUCGCCCAAGGACAGGAUCAACCAACAGUAAUAGCUGGCAAAGCCUAACUAGGACGCAGGAGCGAGCCUCUCUCCCCACACCACUGACCUGUCCAGCCCUGGCCUGCUGGGGGAGCUGGGCUCGUCCAUGUGUUUUCGUUUCCUCAUCACAGCUCCUACUGCUUUCUUCUCAACUGGGACCUUCAGGAGGAAGCAGAUGCCUGUGACUCCUCCUUUCCAGAGUUGCUCACAGUUCAUGAAGGCACAGUGAAGAAAACUCCCCAUCCUUAAACUGCCAAAGGCAACUUUUAACACCAGCUUUGCAAGAAAGGGAACCUGCCCAAUCUGUAACAUCUCUUCAUGAGUAAAAUGUCCAACACUAAGCACUACUGCCUACGUACCAGGAUCAUCACUUGGAACAUUCUCCUACCUGCAUGGGGAGAAUACAGUGUGUUGGGAUAACCUUUAUGCUUGCAGUCAAAAGCCCAGAAUUCAAGUUUGAUCAUUUAUGACCUUAUGCAAAUCAUUUCUCUUCCAGAAGACUAAUGAUACUAGUAUCCGCCCUGAUGACUCAGAGUCUUUGUUAGAAUUAAAUGUUUCUCCCAAGUAUCUCUUGAAUCUGUUCUUCUCUACCAUCCCCACUUCCACUGGAAUCUCAGUGGAUACAGAGAGGGCUCAAGUUAAAUAAUGACACAAUCCAAAGGAUACACCAAUUACAAGCCAAUUAGGAGGACGUUUGCUAUCAAUUUUAGAUGAAAUUAAGGUAUUACUACAACUUCCUGCCACAACCAAUGUAGCAAAUAAGGAUGUACACUCAUGUUUUUGAGUGGCACCAAGGAAUGGCUUAUUUUCCAGAUCUAUCAAUUACUCUUCCUUUCCCCCACUUGUGAGGCUUCCCUGUGUUCCAAGAGUGCCUACUAUACCCCUAGCACUUACUGUUUUAUUUCUCCUGUUCUAGAAUCUCUGUCCACUUAAGGUCGUCUCUGUGGGGAGUUAAGGGGAGAGAUGGAAAAAAUAAAAAUAAAUAAUUAGAGGAGAUCCAGAGUUCCUAAGGAUCAAAACUAGUUAUAUACAUCAGUACAAGUAUAAAAAUUACAUGGUAUUGGUUUCAGAGGCAGCUGAGAUGCAGUCGACAGAAUGGGCCCAAAAUAAAGAGAAUCUGAGUUUGAAUCUCAGUCCAAUGUCCCUAAUUUCUGAGCCUUGGUUUUCUUACUUACACAAUAACAACUCUCAAUAACAACUUUUGCCAUGCCCUAUUCUAAGUUUAAUCUCACUUAAUCCUCACAACAAGCCUAUAAGUCUAAAUUUGAUAGGUGAGGAAACUGA